UACAUAAUAUUAUUAAAUAUUUAUGACGGAAUUGUUAAAAUGCUGCAAAUACUCACCAAGCCACUGCACUUUCUCUCGGACGUCCUUCUCAAAUGCAGCCGUCUCCCAGCUAAACUCCCGAACGGAGUUUACAUUUGAGCCUGCAAUACAAAAAAUACAUGAAUUUCAGUAAAAUGAGGAAAACCUAAACCAUCA